rnacentral:tRNA from 1 species
AGAAGUGUGCCCGAAUCAAGGACUAUUUUGAUGAAAUAGCUACAGAGCAUCACAACUCUCACUUCCA